UACAGAGGGGGCAAGCGUUGUUCGGAAUUACUGGGCGUAAAGGGCGCGUAGGCGGCCGCCUAAGUCAGACGUGAAAUCCCUCGGCUCAACCGGGGAACUGCGUCUGAUACUGGAUGGCUUGAAUCCGGGAGAGGGAUGCGGAAUUCCAGGUGUAGCGGUGAAAUGCGUAGAUAUCAGGAGGAACACCGGUGGCGAAGGCGGGUCUCUGGGCCGAUACUGACGCUGAGACACGAAAGCGUGGGUAGCAAACAGG
rnacentral:rRNA from 1 species